GAGUCAUUGGGACUCUGAUAAACCUAAAGGCGCAAUGAAAGUAAAGGUCCGCCUCGCGCGGACCGAGGGAGGAUGGGCCCGUCCACGGGCGGGCCCCGCACUCCCGGGGCGUCUCGUUCUCAUCGCGAGAAGAGGCGCACCCAGAGCGUACACGCUGGGACCCGAAAGAUGGUGAACUAUGCCUGGUCAGGACGAAGUCAGGGGAAACCCUGAUGGAGGUCCGUAGCGAUUCUGACGUGCAAAUCGAUCGUCGGAACUGGGUAUAGG
rnacentral:rRNA from 1 species